rnacentral:rRNA from 1 species
UACGAAGGGGGCUAGCGUUGCUCGGAAUCACUGGGCGUAAAGGGUGCGUAGGCGGGUUCUUAAGUCAGAGGUGAAAUCCUGGAGCUCAACUCCAGAACUGCCUUUGAUACUGGUAGUCUCGAGUCCGGAAGAGGUGAGUGGAAUUCCGAGUGUAGAGGUGAAAUUCGUAGAUAUUCGGAGGAACACCAGUGGCGAAGGCGGCUCACUGGUCCGGUACUGACGCUGAGGUGCGAAAGCGUGGGGAGCAAACAGG